rnacentral:tRNA from 1 species
GGCAUCGUAGCUCAGUUGGUUAGAGCGUUGGCUGUACUAAAACCUUCCCCUUGUUGGUGUGUGUUAGAAUUUCACCGAGGCCA